rnacentral:rRNA from 1 species
UACCAGCACCCCGAGUGGUCGGGACGAUUAUUGGGCCUAAAGCAUCCGUAGCCGGUUCUACAAGUCUUCCGUUAAAUCCACCUGCUUAACAGAUGGGCUGCGGAGGAUACUAUGGAGCUAGGAGGCGGGAGAGGCAAGCGGUACUUAGUGGGUAGGGGUAAAAUGCGUAGAUAUCGGGAGGAACACCAGUGGCGAAGGCGGUGGUCUGGGCCGGCACUGACGCUGAGGAGCGAAAGCGUGGGUAGCAAACAGG